rnacentral:lncRNA from 1 species
GGGCUGCUUCGUGAUCGUCCCGCAGCGUACGGUCUUCGCUGUCGCCUGCCCACCCUCAGAAACCGGGAGUGGACAGGAUGGGGAGCCUCACUGUAGUCUGUUCGGCCUCUCUCGCCCACACUAUAAGUAAUUUCUCAUGUUCCUUGGCGCCCUCAUAGGGGUCAGAGAACACUUCCAUUCAUUUAAGUGACUUGGUGAUCGUCAUUUAAAAAAAUUUUUUUUUCCAUCUGAGACAGUCUUGCUAGAAUGCCUCUUCUCCAACUUUCCCAUGCUACUAGCAGCUGAUAUGCUAAUCACCAAGAUGCCCCAAGUGCAUGCCUAAAGACUCUACAAGGUGAGGAGACUAAUACCUUGAAAGGUGUCAGUAACCAGACAUCUCCUGGUCUUAAAAGAACCUCAAGGAAGGUCAGAGCUAACCAUGCUGAGGGGCCCAAAUCUGUCUACCCUUAUUCCAGGAGGACCACAGGGAAGCAUCCAGUCAGGAUGUCACAGGUGCAGUCCCUGAGACACUGCCUUAUUGCACUUAGAAAUGAGUAAGGCCAACACAGACAAAAACAAGGAGAACGAUCCAUCCUACUUCUCACUCCCCUAGUAGAGAUUUGGUCUCUAACAGGUACCCUGGCAAUCAUGGGCUUGGAUCACUACACACUGGGCUGACUGACUGAAGAAGGCUUGGGAAAUGUCAGGUGACACAAUUCUAUCCCACUCUCCCACCAGAAAGGCAUCCUCAGUUUCUGCCCAUCUAGAAAAGCCAGUGCUU